AACGAACGCUGGCGACAUGCCUAACACAUGCAAGUCGAACGAGACCUUCGGGUCUAGUGGCGCACGGGUGCGUAACGCGUGGGAACCUGCCCUUAGGUUCGGAAUAACUCCCCGAAAGGGGUGCUAAUACCGGAUAAUGUCUUCGGACCAAAGAUUUAUCGCCUUUGGAUGGGCCCGCGUUGGAUUAGCUAGUUGGUAGGGUAAAAGCCUACCAAGGCGACGAUCCAUAGCUGGUCUGAGAGGAUGAUCAGCCACACUGGGACUGAGGCACGGCCCAGACCCCUACGGGAGGCAGCCGUGGGGGAUAUUGGACCAUGGGGCAAAGCCUUAACCCACCAUGGCCCGUGAGUUAAUAAGGCCCUAGGGUUUUAAAGCCUCUUUUCCCCGGAUGAUUAUUACCGUACCCGGAGAAUAAGCUCCGGCUAACUCCGUG
rnacentral:rRNA from 1 species